UUGAAAGUUAAAAAGCGUAACAAGGUCUCCGUUGGUGAACCAGCGGAGGGAUCAUUGCUGGAACGCGCCUCGGCGCACCCAGAAACCCUUUGUGAACUUAUACCCAUACUGUUGCCUCGGCGCAGGCCGGCCUUUUUCGAUAAAGGCCCCCUGGAGACAGGGAGCAGCCCGCCGGCGGCCAACCAAACUCUGUUUCUAUAGUGAAUCUCUGAGUAAAAAAACAUAAAUGAAUCAAAACUUUCAACAACGGAUCUCUUGGUUCUGGCAUCGAUGAAGAACGCAGCGAAAUGCGAUAAGUAAUGUGAAUUGCAGAAUUCAGUGAAUCAUCGAAUCUUUGAACGCACAUUGCGCCCUCUGGUAUUCCGGAGGGCAUGCCUGUUCGAGCGUCAUUUCAACCCUCAAGCCUGGCUUGGUGAUGGGGCACUGCCCGUGAAAGGGCAGGCCCUGAAAUCUAGUGGCGAGCUCGCCAGGACCCCGAGCGCAGUAGUUACAUCUCGCUCUGGAAGGCCCUGGCGGUGCCCUGCCGUAAAACCCCCAACUUCUGAAAAUUGACCUCGGAUCAGGUAGGAAAACCCCCGGCC
rnacentral:rRNA from 1 species